rnacentral:rRNA from 1 species
CAGUCGCCGCGGUAAUACGGAGGGUGCAAGCGUUACUCGGAAUCACUGGGCGUAAAGGACGCGUAGGCGGAUUAUCAAGUCUCUUGUGAAACCUAACGGCUUAACCGUUAAACUGCUUGGGAAACUGAUAAUCUAGAGUGAGGGAGAGGCAGAUGGAAUUCUUGGUGUAGGGGUAAAAUCCGUAGAUAUCAAGAAGAAUACCUAUUGCGAAGGCGAUCUGCCGGAACUUAACUGACGCUAAUGCGUGAAAGCGUGGGGAGCAAACAGGAUUAGAUACCCCCGUAGUCCCUGUCUCUUAUAA